GCCGAUGUGGCUCAGUGGUUAGAGCGUCAGUCUGAGGACUGAGGGUCCCAGGUUUGAUUCCAGUCAAGGGCA
rnacentral:tRNA from 1 species